ACAACAGCUUCACUGCUGAAGAAAACAAAACGAGAACAAGGGAAAGAACACAUUCAAAGGUGAGUGAAAGAUAUCUGACCAGAGAUUCGUAGCGAUGGUGAACAGUUGGAUAUUGACGUUGACCGUCCUCCUAAGCAUCUUUGGGCCAGGAUGUCACACAAAAGGAGAUCAAGAUAUUGUAUCACAUCAGAAUCAAGAUGCUGCGAUUGAAAAACAUACAGUUUUCAAAGAGCGGACCUUUGUGGCGGACAGCGAUGUCACUUUAUGGUGUGCCGAUAAUGGCACUGAUGUCAAAUUGAAUGAAUUAAUUUUUAUUGUGUGGAACAUCAGCAUGCAAGGCAAAAAAUGUUAUCUUGGUUUGUCACCCGACCUGGGCCUGAACGACACUUGUAAGGAUGGAAAGAAGCUGAACCACACUUCAGAUUUUCCUUAUUCAUUCCCAAGAUUUCAAAGGAAGACGAAGGAUUUUACUUAUGUGAUUUAUCAUAUAAAGGAGGAAGCAAAUCUGUAAAUAUCUCUGUAAGCGUUACCCGACUGGAAACUCACCUGGACAGCAAAAAUGGUCAGAGGAUUGCUGUCUGUAAGACCACAUAUGAAGAGACGGCACCCACUCUUAAUUGGGAACCUGCCUUGAACUUUUCUUUCACUAACACUUCUGUCACGAAGGUUGACACAUUUUUCAUUAUGGAGAAUCGCGUACUUCUGCUUGAAUAUGCGACCAUCAGUAACAUCACCUGCGUGGCCUCAUACCCCUCUGUGUCUGGCUCUGUGCAGCAGAAGAGCACACUUGAUCUUACAACACAAGGAAUAAGGUUUUGUCUCAGAAUGAAGGACGAAACACCCGAGAAGAGAUGAAGAAAUACAGAAGCAUAAACAGGAUGUGGGUGGCAAAAAUAGGCACGAUAAGAAAGUGAACCGGAGGGAGGUGUUUACCUGAGAACUGCUGACAUUACAUUUUAACAUAGAGCAUCUGAAGAAGUAGAGCAAAAGCACCAAAGAGGGCAUUAAAAAUGUCCAUAAUUAUCUUAGUUUUAUGUUCUUUUUUGUCUUGAAUGAAAAUGCAAUUACAUUUUUAUUUGGCCUUUGAGUCAACCGAAUUUAGUAAUAUAAUCCAACAUUUUGCUUGUGCUGUCUUUCUUUUAUAUAAAUGCCCCGUGAUUUGAUAUUGUUUUAUAUAAUGCCAAGACAUUUAAGUGUAAUUUAAGAGUCCAAAUGGUUUUGGGGCAAUUGUAAAGCUAGCAGUUAUUUGAAGAAGUCUCACAAAUGUCCACAAAUCCUUUUUUAAAAAAAGAAAUGAGAUGCAUAAAACACGUUGUUGCCAAACUUCUCUUUUCCCCUUUAUUUGUAGUGAAUUGAUUUCAUUGUUUACACUUACGCAAUAAAUUCCAAAGCUAUAA